rnacentral:rRNA from 1 species
AUGGAUUUCGUCGAGGGGCUGCCCAAGUCCGAGGGGUCUGACGCCAUCAUGGUCGUGGUCGAUCGCCUGACCAAGUAUGCGCACUUCAUUCCGCUCCAUCAUCCCUUCACCGCUGCCCAAGUUGCCCGUGCGUUCUGGGAACAUGUCAUCAACCUGCACGGUGUUCCUCACUCCAUCGUCUCGGACCGCGACAAGAUCUUCACCAGCGCCAUGUGGCGCGAAUUGCUCGCCGCCGCCGGAACCAAACUAGUCUACUCCACGGCGUACCACCCGCAAACUGAUGGCCAGACGGAGCGCAUCAACCAGUGCCUCGAGAUGUACCUGCGGUGCGCGGUGCAUGACAUGCCGCGACAGUGGCGCAAGUGGCUUCCCGCGGCAGAGUUCUGGUACAACUCCGCCCCCACUCUUCGCUCAAGUGCUCCCCGUUCAAGGCGCUGUACGGCAAGGAACCAAAUCUGGGCGGCAGACAAUAGCUGA